rnacentral:rRNA from 1 species
AUGUCGGCGGUGGUUCGGGAUCUAGCCAUGUCGACCAACAAGGGCGGAGGCGGAGGGAAGAAGAAGGAGGUGAAGAAGGAGACGAAACUGGGGAUGGCGUACAAGAAGGAUGAUAACUUUGGGGAGUGGUACUCUGAGGUGGUUGUUAACAGCGAAAUGAUUGAGUACUAUGACAUCUCUGGUUGUUAUAUCUUGAGGCCUUGGGCGAUGGAAAUAUGGGAGUUGCUGAAAGAAUUUUUUGAUGCAGAAAUAAAGAAGUUGAAGCUGAAACCAUAUUAUUUCCCUUUGUUUGUUACGGAGAAUGUUCUGCAGAAGGAGAAAGACCAUAUUGAGGGCUUUGCCCCUGAGGUAGCGUGGGUUACUAAAUCAGGAAAAUCUGAUCUGGAAGCUCCUAUUGCAAUCCGUCCAACAAGUGAGACUGUCAUGUAUCCAUACUUCUCUAAAUGGAUAAGAAGCCACCGGGACUUACCUUUGAAGUGUAACCAGUGGUGCAAUGUUGUUAGAUGGGAGUUUAGCAAUCCAACUCCUUUCAUAAGGAGCCGUGAAUUUCUUUGGCAAGAAGGCCAUACAGUUUUUGCAACUAAAGAGGAGGCAGAUGAAGAGGUCCUCCAAAUAUUGGAACUCUACAGGAGAAUAUAUGAAGAAUUUUUAGCAGUUCCAGUGUCCAAAGGGAGGAAAAGUGAGAUGGAAAAGUUUGCUGGUGGACUUUACACAACCAGUGUAGAGGCCUUCAUUCCAAAUACUGGCCGUGGUAUACAAGGUGCAACUUCACAUUGUCUUGGUCAAAACUUUGCAAAGAUGUUUGAUAUCACUUUUGAGAAUGAAAAGGGUGAACGGUCCAUGGUGUGGCAGAACUCUUGGGCAUACACUACCCGCUCGAUUGGAGUCAUGGUAAUGACACAUGGUGAUGACAAGGGCUUAGUGCUGCCACCAAAGGUGGCACCUAUCCAGGUCAUUGUUAUUCCUGUGCCAUUUAAAGAUGCUGACACAACAGGUAUUAAAGGGGCGUGUGAGUCGGCUGUUUACACCUUGAACCAAGCUGGGAUUCGAGCAGAUUUGGAUGCUCGUGAAAACUACUCUCCUGGUUGGAAAUAUUCUCAAUGGGAAAUGAAAGGUGUUCCUUUGAGAAUCGAGAUAGGUCCAAAAGAUCUGGCGAACAAGCAGGUGCGCAUUGUCCGGCGAGACAAUGGUACAAAGGUUGAUAUUCCUUCAACAGACUUGGUUGAGCAGGUUAGAGUGUUGCUGGAUGGGUUUCAAGCAAACUUGUUGGAAACAGCGAAAGCAAAGAGAGAUGCCUGCAUUGUAAUCAUCAGCACUUGGGAUGAAUUCAUAGCAGCUCUCAAUGACAAAAAAUUGAUCUUGGCUCCAUGGUGUGAUGAGGAGGAGGUGGAGAAGGACGUGAAAGCUCGGACCAAAGGUGAACUUGGGGCUGCGAAAACAUUGUGUACUCCAUUUGACCAGCCAGAUCUUCCUUCCGGAACUGUGUGCUUUGCUUCCGGAAAGCCUGCUCAAAAGUGGUCGUUCUGGGGUCGCAGCUAUUGA